rnacentral:lncRNA from 1 species
UGCAGUCAAGCCUACACCAAUAUUGCAGUCAAGUUAUACUGCAAUUACUAGCAGUCGUCCCUCUUCAGGUAACAAAUUGUAUUUCUUUUUAACCUUCAUCUGCUGGUGGAUGAUUGGCAAUGUAUUGUGUUUUAAGAUAUACUCCCCGUGAAUUAUAAGUGUACCUCUGCAAUAGUAUUUUUUUCCCGUGAGAACAAAGAUCAAUCUGUACACUCAACAAAACUUAACUUUCUCCAUGCCCAUUCUGUUUUCAGAUUUUGCAGAGGGGGGAAAAGAGCACGUUGAAAGGAGAAUGCCAAGGAAAUAGGUAAAAUAAAAUUUCAUCCAAGAUUUAUUAAUGGAUGGGUUGUCCGAUAUACUAGAGAUGGUGAGUCUGAUUUGCCUAAGAAGUUGUCUGGCAGUGUUGUGAUAUCUCUCUAAUGUCCAUUCAAGUACUUGAUGAAUAGGUGUUGCACCAUAUUUGAGGGUAAGAUUGCCUAUAUCCAUGACUAAGCUUUCUUCAUUUUAGUACUAUUGAACCAUAUAUUUAUUUGGCUUAGUUUGUCUUUGCAAAUUUUGAUCGAACUACUAUUUAGCUACUCCACUGAUUUUAAAUUAUCUUGAAGUAAAAAAUGUAAGGUAGGCCAGUCUUUUGUUUGCCGAAAUUAUUCCUUUUACUAAGUAAUCAAGUUGGGUUUGCUACUGUUGUUUGUAACAUUCAACUAGCCUCAUCGUUAUGGAAGAGGGGUUAGUGGAUUAAGGACAGACGUGGUUGGGGCUUUAUUAAUUUAAAGACAAGCAGAACUUGUGCUUUCAUUCUAACUUUAUUGCCACAUUAAUGCAAUUUGAUCUCAGAUAUCCCUUGUGUUGCAGAUAUCUGAUGAUUUUUUAUCUAGCGGCUCUGUUUAUCUUCACUUGAGAUAACAUAAGGAUGUAAUUGGCCCAGUAUACAACCAAGGGUGGUUAGAUAUUUCUGAUUCAUUAGCAAAGUCCUAAAUGGACAAGGAUAUUGCAACAUUUUCUUUGUUCGAAUGUAUUAGUUAUGGUCACACUGAACAAAAGAGAGACCGAUACAUGUUCAAUGCAAUGCUUAUAAGAAAGGGACAUCAUAC